rnacentral:rRNA from 1 species
CAGCCGCCACGGUAAUACGAAGGGGGCUAGUGUUGCUCGGAAUGACUGGGCGUAAAGGGCGCGUAGGCGGCGGCCAAAGUCAGGCGUGAAAUUCCCGGGCUCAACCUGGGGGCUGCGUUUGAUACUUGGUUGCUUGAGUGGGGAAGAGGGUCGUGGAAUUCCCAGUGUAGAGGUGAAAUUCGUAGAUAUUGGGAAGAACACCGAUGGCGAAGGCAAAUCUCUGGGCCGUAACUGACGCUGAGGAGCGAAAGCAUGGGGAGCGAACAGGAUUAGAGACCCGCGUAGUCCCUGUCUCUUAUAC